rnacentral:rRNA from 1 species
GAUGAACGCUGGCGGCGUGCUUAACACAUGCAAGUCGAACGAAACACCUUAUUUGAUUUUCUUCGGAACUGAGGAUUUGGUGAUUGAGUGGCGGACGGGUGAGUAACGCGUGGGUAACCUGCCCUGUACAGGGGGAUAACAGUCAGAAAUGACUGCUAAUACCGCAUAAGACCACAGCACCGCAUGGUGCAGGGGUAAAAACUCCGGUGGUACAGGAUGGACCCGCGUCUGAUUAGCUGGUUGGUGAGGUAACGGCUCACCAAGGCGACGAUCAGUAGCCGGCUUGAGAGAGUGAACGGCCACAUUGGGACUGAGACACGGCCCAAACUCCUACGGGAGGGAGCAGUGGGGAAUAUUGCACAAGGGGGGAAACCCUGAUGCAGCGACGCCGCGUGAGUGAAGAAGUAUUUCGGGAUGUAAAGCUCUAUCAGCAGGGAAGAAAAUGACGGUACCUGACGAAGAAGCCCCGGCUAGCUACGUG